CAACUCUUCUUUUUUUCUAUACGAGGAGGCUGACACAUUCUUCCUUAGUUUUAUAAAUCAUGAAAUAGGAAAACGUUAAUUAAUUAAUUUUGUUAUUAAUUAAUUAAUAAUGGUUUAAAAGUAUUCUGCUCCUGGAUGCAAGCAGGACUAUGACGUAUAUUAAUAAGAACUUUUCACAAAUUCCCCAUGAAAGACUGCAAAAACCUAACCAAAUGGCUUACGGCCAUGCCAAGAGAUACGAUUAACAGUUAAUCAUUAAUUGGACAACAACAGGCAACAGCGAAUUCAAGACUAUGCAGUCUUCAUUGUAAAGUGACUUAUUUUGUCACUGAAUCUUUAGAUCAAUCCCGUACUCUAACGAAGUAAUGGUAAUGAGAGAUAGCUUGGCAGAUUCGGUCACUUUAAUGGAUGCCAUCAUCACCUCCAAGACCAACACAUGCAUCAACUAGCACUAAAAGAGUGCAUUUGGAGAA
rnacentral:lncRNA from 1 species